rnacentral:lncRNA from 1 species
GCCUCCCACAAGGCUCUAACCCAGGUGUUAGUCAGGCCCUAAAAGACCAGGCUGUGAGGGUACCCACCUGGAGUAGGUAGCUCAAAUUGAGCAGCGAGCUUCCCAGGACGGCGGUGGCUGGCGUUCUCAGGCUGGGGGAACAGCUUGCACCUGCGAGCCUCCCGUGGCGCACCGCCCCCAGCCCGCCCCGCCCCGGCCUCUACGCCCUGCGCCUGCGCUCCGCGGCGCACGAGGGGCGAGAACCGGCUUCAAAUUUACCGCCAUCUUGGGCUGUGGCUAGAGCAUCGGGAAGAAACUGGCCCGCGUCAGAAAGAAACGGACCCCCUCUGAGGGCUCCGUUUGGAAUCUGAUUCUAAGAAAACAGUUCCCCAAACUUCAUACUGUUAAUUGAGUCUCAAGUAAAACUCAAGUUUCCUGAUGUCCUAAUCUUGUGUACAAAGUGUAAGUACUUUCUGUCAAUGUAAUAAUAAUCUAGGGAAUAUAAUACUGAAUAGAGUUUGGAUCUAGAACAUCUUUAAGUUAUAUCCUUAAAUAAUUGUCCCUUGUAUAAAAUAAUUGGUUGAAUUUCCUGUUGAUUUUUUUUCCCUAAUGUUCUCUGAAUUGUUAUAGUUUGAUGACCUUCAGAUACACAAGGGCAGGAGCUUUAUCCAUGACCCAGUGAACCUUCUUCAUGAUCCUAUUGGGCAAGCACUGGAGAGGCAGGUGCAGGAGGCUGAUUGAUAGUCUUUGAAUAAGUUCUUUCUACCUGAUUAAGAAUCUUUUCCAUAGUGAGCCCUUCAAUGCACAUCACAUGCGACCUACAAGUUUUCUUCAUGUGCCAAGUCUGAGAGGCUCAUCCAUAUGCCUUUUCUUCAGAUUUAUUUCGUAACAGAUCCUCCAGUCUUAUUCCUUCAGAAUUGCUAAUCAUCCUGCAGAAACUAUUAGCUGUGGCCUACUAAUAUGCAUAGGUUCUUAACUGAAACAGUUUCUUCUUCAGGCAAAGUAGAUGUACUGGUAGUCUGUCAGCUUGAAUAUCUCUUGGAUUGGGAUACCGUGCUUUUGUGGUCCAUUUCUGGAAGUUACUGGCAUUAGGUGAGAGAGUAUGUGCAGAUAAAGCUCAGAUUCUUUUUCCCCCUUUCUCUAUGAAAUUCUCCAUGAGGCCAUUUGUUUUGUUUGAAGGAGGGACAGCAGUGUGGAGGAGCAG